AAUCAACGCCGGCGGCGUGCCUAACACAUGCAAGUCGAACGAGAAAGUGGAGCAAUCCAUGAGUAAAGUGGCGUACGGGUGAGUAACACGUGACUAACCUACCCUUGAGUGGGGGAUAACUUCGGGAAACCGAGGCUAAUACCGCAUAAUACCUUCGGGUCAAAGGAGCAAUUCGCUUAAGGAGGGGGUCGCGGCUGAUUAGCUAGUUGGUAGGGUAAUGGCCUACCAAGGCAAUGAUCAGUAUCCGGCCUGAGAGGGCGCACGGACACACUGGAACUGAAACACGGUCCAGACUCCUACGGGAGGCAGCAGUGGGGAAUUUUGCACAAUGGGGGAAACCCUGAUGCAGCAACGCCGCGUGGAGGAUGAAGUCCCUUGGGAUGUAAACUCCUUUCGACCGGGACGAUAAUGACGGUACCGGUAGAAGAAGCCCCGGCUAACUCUGUGCCAGCAGCCGCGGUAAUACAGAGGGGGCAAGCGUUGUUCGGAAUUAUUGGGCGUAAAGGGUGCGUAGGCGGUGCGGUAAGUCUUCUGUGAAAUCUCCGGGCUCAACUCGGAGUCUGCAGGAGAAACUGCCG
rnacentral:rRNA from 1 species